ensembl:rRNA 5S_rRNA 5S ribosomal RNA
UUCCACAGCCAUAAUACCCUGCAGCCCAAGACCGGUUACUGAAGCUCACUGAAGCUAAACAGGGCUGAGCCUGGUUAGUACCUGGAUGAGAGACCAGAUGAGAAAACUAGGUUGCUGUUGGAA